CAAGUAAACGGGAGCGACCUACCCUAAAGACGAGGAUAACCAUUGGAAACAGUGGCUAAGACUGGAUAGGAAGAUAAAAGGCAUCUUGUAUCUUUUAAAAGACCUAGUUAAUAGGUAUGCUUUAGGAGGGGCUGCGCCAUAUUAGUUAGUUGGUAGGGUAAUGGCCUACCAAGACGAUGAUGUGUAGCUGGACUGAGAGGUUGAACAGCCACAUUGGGACUGAGACACGGCCCAAACUCCUACGGGAGGCAGCAGUAGGGAAUUUUCGGCAAUGGAGGAAACUCUGACCGAGCAACGCCGCGUGAAUGACGAAGUACUUCGGUAUGUAAAGUUCUUUUAUCGAGGAAGAAAAGCAAAUGGCGAACCAUUUGUUUGCCGGUACUUGAUGAAUAAGCCCCGGCUAAUUAUGUGCCAGCAGCCGCGGUAAGACAUAAGGGGCAAGUGUUAUCCGGAAUUAUUGGGCGUAAAGGGUGCGUAGGCGGUCUAGUAAGUCAGUGGUGUAAUGGCAACGCUUAACGUGGUCCGCGCUUUGAAACUGCUAAACUUGAGUUAGAUAGAGGCGAGUGGAAUUCCAUGUGUAGCGGUAAAAUGCGUAAAUAUAUGGAGGAACACCAGAGGCGUAGGCGGCUCGCUGGGUCUUAACUGACGCUGAGGCACGAAAGCGUGGGGAGCAAACAGGAUUAGAUACCCUGGUAGUCCACGCCGUAAACGAUGAGUACUAAGUGUCGGGUUAAACCGGUACUGAAGUUAACACAUUAAGUACUCCGCCUGAGUAGUACGUACGCAAGUAUGAAACUUAAAGGAAUUGACGGGACUCCGCACAAGCGGUGGUCAUGUUGUUUAAUUCGAAGAUACCCGAAAAACCUUACCAGGUCUUGACAUGUUUUUGCAAAAUGAUAGUAAUAUCGUGGAGGUUACCAGAAACACAGGUGGUGCAUGGUUGUCGUCAGCUCGUGUCGUGAGAUGUUAGGUUAAGUCCUUAAACGAGCGAAACCCUUAUCGUUAGUUGCCAGCACGUUAUGGUGGGGACUUUAACGAGACUGCCAAUGAUAAAUUGGAGGAAGGUGAGGAUCACGUCAAAUCAGCAUGCCCCUUAUGACCUGGGCUACAAACGUGAUACAAUGGCUGUUACAAAGGGUAGCUGAAACGCAAGUUCUUGGCCAAUCCCCAAAAACAGUCCCAGUCCGGAUUGAAGUCUGCAACUCGACUUCAUGAAGUUGGAAUCGCUAGUAAUCGCGAAUCAGCAUGUCGCGGUGAAUACGUUCUCGGGGUUUGUACACACCGCCCGUCAAACCACGAAAGUUGGCAUUACCGC
rnacentral:rRNA from 1 species